CUUUUCCCGCGGCGAAGCUGGCCCGCCCCGUGCCCCGCUCUUUCUGACGCUACCCACCCUCACUCUAGUGGCGUAAAAUAAGUCUCAGUCAGGGACCACGUUUUGGACGCGCUGUUGGAAUUGUAAAGCUUGCCGAAGCUGCACGCCUGCGCGGUUAGACCUCCCACGCCUUUGUUGACGCUUCCAGUUUGGAAGCCAGAUUUACACCCCUGCCUUUCUCCGCUCCUCCUGCUGGGCGCCAUCUUGUCUUCUCCUAGCACACUUUGUAUUGUUCGAAGUUGAGAGAGAAGGAGCCGGAGUCUCCGAGGUGGCGUUGGGUGGGGGCGCUACUAGCUCCCGUUCUCUCAGCGUCUCUAGAGGGAAGGGCGCCGGUGGGAGCAGGAGAGUCUGCACCGGGCAGGCCUCCUUAGGUGCCGGGUUGCGCGCAGGGCCCUGUGCUUGUCUCGCCUCCGGUUGGCUCAGGCCUCGGAGCAUGAGUGCGCCGGCAACUGCUGGGCCCGGGACAGUGAAGCAGAGGAGGAGGUGGGGGAGGCGAGCCCAGGUCGGGGAAGGGCAGCACCUGAAUCACCCUUGGGGCCCAGACCCCCAAGAGUCUCCGGGGAGCCGAGGCCUGGCGAGGCAGUCCCGGGAUUCGCCCCCUCCCCGCUGGCCCGAGGGCGCACCACGUGCUGGGCAGAGACUUCGGCGAGGCCGAGUGGACCCUGCAGCGCUGCUUGGGAAAGGGCACCUUGGACUACCUGGUGGGGGCGUUGUGCUUCGUUACCGACCGCCGGGACGCCAACCCACGGUGCCCACCCGUGCGUCAUUCCGCUGUGGAUCAGCCCUUUGGCGGCCCCCCUCCAAAGUCUACAAGGUCACACGGAUGUCUGCAGGCAGAGGUGGGAUAGGAGCAUGCCAGGUGCUGCGAGGGUUUAAUCGGGCUCUUCUGCUGGCCUUGAAUAUGGUGGACAGGACAGGACAUUCUCAUUGCUCAGGAGCCACUGGCGCUGCCUUUGGGAAUGAAGUUCCACAGCCCCCCACUCAUUGCUUUGGCUGUCUGCUGCAUUUGAAACUGUACGAGGGUCAGGAAGAAGGCUGCGGGGAUGAAUGGCUCUACCGGCUUGCCACGGAUGGGGAACUGGAGCAGCCAGUGGCCCCAAGAGGAGGAAGGAAGGGAGGCACGGCAGACCCAACACCAGCUGUGCCAGGCUUUGGGGGGUGAACCCAUGAGGCAUCGUCACACACUGACAUUUUCAUCCCUCCUCAGCAGCUGCUUCCGGCUCCCUGAGACCCAGCCAUGGAAGGCAUAGAAAGGCAUGUGACAAGAAACUCAUGGCUUUUAAUCCUGGCAGGACAAGGAAAACCCCGUCAAAGAUUUGCAUAAAUUUUGCUGCUCUCCUGCUGGGGGGGGGGGGGGGGCAGUUCGUCACAUUUAAUAAAAUUCUCUCCCUCCCUUCUCCCGAC
ensembl:lncRNA MPDU1-AS1 MPDU1 antisense RNA 1